AGAGAAGUCAAUGCUCACGUACCAGGGAAGAAAAUGAAAAUGAUCUGUCAGCCUGGCAAGGUGAUCAUUCACUUAGGACAGCAGGAACAACAAUCUCUUGUGGCCCAGCAUAGUGAGUCUAGGAGGGCUAGUAUCCAUAUACCCAUCAGCACUGUUUCCACUGGCCCCGUCCAACCAGAAACCACCCUCCCAGGCCUGUCUAUACAGUCUAGAGCAACAACUUGCAGUAGCCCCUGUUGCAUUCUGCUCUUGGACUCGGAAGGAAGGGAAUCGGAGUUUACGAGAACAGCCAAGUGCAGAGCUGGUUGCAGCCAUGCAUUCACUGGGCAUGGAGAGAAGAAAGAUUAGACCAGGUGGUGACAGAUGCCACAAGAGGCUGAUGAGUCCAAGACUUUAGUAAGGUUCAAGGAGGGAUUGGACAUUCCUAUGGAUAACAAGGCCACCCAGAGUUAUAAUAGUUAAGGCCGACAAAGAGUUCUGGAAGAAAUAAAAACAACCGGCUUCAGGUUUAAAACCAACACUCACGGCAGGCAAAUUAUCCCAUAUCUCCCUACUGCAGGGUUUUACACUUUCCUCCUAAACAUCUGGUACUGACCACCAUGAGAGCCAGGAUAUUGGGCUGCAUGUAGCACAGGACUGAUCCAGCCUGGAGAUUUCCUGUGUUUCCUAUGAGCAGCAGUCAGGCCCAGAGGUCUGAUUCCCCGACAGCAGAUGCAACAGCUCCUUUUGGCUCCGUGACAUUCGCACAAGGUUACACUCCUUUAUACAGAUGCAAUGCCUCCACCACAAAUACAGUCUGCUCUGAAUAGCAUUCCAAUUCAGCCGGCAGCUCUCACUUGGUGUGACUGGAAGAUGCAAAUCAAAUAGCUUGCGUGACUGACUGGCGGAGCUGUGCGUGACUUUUCCCUCAGAAGGUCAAAAUGGGGAAGGCUGCAUUUCCCACCCCCCAGCAUCUAAGGCUGCAUUUCCCACCCCCCAGCAUCUGCAGGGCAUUUUUCAUAAAUUUUGCUCUGAGUGACACUGUCAUUACAGCAUCAUGUCAGAAAGGCUGAUAGAAAUGGAAGGUCAAAGGCCAAAUUUAGCAUGCUUACAUCACUGUGGCCUCACCAGUCGUGGUUUUGAAUGGGAGAUUGGGAAUCAGUAUAAACCAGGGUCGAGCUAAAUCAUUUGGGACCUUUUUAAAAAAAUGAUUCACCCAAAGCAUGGAAAGUUUUAGGGGAGAUUUUGAGGAAGCUCAGAGUGUACGUAAGGGAGAGACUGAUAAGGGAAGUUGGAGUAUUAAGUCCAGGUGACGCAGUUAUAAAUUCACACUCUUCCUACCUUGUUCUCGGAUGGGUUAUUACACCAAUCGAUAAAUAAAACGAAAGAGAAGCGACAGGCUUCCAGGAGAGCAUUUCACCUUCAGGUCAAGAGCAGUAGCCUCAAGCUUCUCCUGCUGAUUGUUCAUUAAAAGGUGAAAGCCCUUUGACUCUUCCAUCUCCGAAGAGAGAGGAAAAGUUUCAAACACACAAAUGGCCAUUCAGCACCCAAAGCCCUUUGACAGUUAACGGGAGUCAGAUCCCCAACCCCUCUGAUUUGGACCUUUGGAAAUUUCCCUUAUGCGCACACGAGGACACUCCCAGGGUGACCAGGGCU